AUUGAACGCUGGCGGCAGGCCUAACACAUGCAAGUCGAGCGGAUGACGGGAGCUUGCUCCUUGAUUCAGCGGCGGACGGGUGAGUAAUGCCUAGGAAUCUGCCUGUAGUGGGGGACAACGUUUCGAAAGGAACGCUAAUACCGCAUACGUCCUACGGGAGAAAGCAGGGGACCUUCGGGCCUUGCGCUAUCAGAUGAGCCUAGGUCGGAUUAGCUAGUUGGUGGGGUAAUGGCUCACCAAGGCGACGAUCCGUAACUGGUCUGAGAGGAUGAUCAGUCAGACGGGAACGGAGACACGGUCCAGACUCCUACGGGAGGCAGCAGUGGGGAAUAUUGGACAAUGGGCGAAAGCAUGAUCCAGCCAUGCCGCGUGUGUGAAGAAGGUCUUCGGAUUGUAAAGCACUUUAAGUUGGGAGGAAGGGCAGUAAGCUAAUACCUUGCUGUUUUGACGUUACCGACAGAAUAAGCACCGGCUAACUCUGUGCCAGCAGCCGCCGUAACAC
rnacentral:rRNA from 1 species